GGUAUUUUAGUCUUUUCGGUAUAGUUUACACAGUACGCUUAAAAUUUUCCUUCUCAGCAUAUUUUAUUUUACACUAUUCCGUUCAAUUUCUCUUGUCUACGAUACGCGGCUCUUUCUCUUCUCAAACGUGUAACAUCAGGCUCUUCUUGUUUUUGGUGCUUUGAGUUGUUUUCUUAGUUUGCUAACACCUGUGUUUCAUGGGGAUCAACAAUAAACUUUGGGGGUUAAACAUUAUCUCUUCAGGUUUUGAUGGGAUCAGCGAUAUAUUUUGUGUUAAAGAUUACCUGUUCAGAACUGCUGACGCUUCUGUUUCAUUUGGUACGACAAAAAAAGCUGCUCGACGUGCUUACAGAUUAUCUUACAGAUCAUUAUGGGCUGCACUUGUUCUAUUUGUAUCACAAAGUAUUGGCUUGCCUUGCAAUUAGUUUAUGACAAACUUCAAAAGCACAGCAUCAGAGUAGAAAAGCGGACACGGUAAGACUUAUCAACUAUUUUCUCAAGAAUCUUGUGUCAUCCUGCUGAAGUAAGAAAAAAGAAAAAGAGAUCCAAUAUAUUCUAUUGUUAUUAGGUUCGUUCCUGUUACCUUGCAAGUCUACUGUGUCUCUUGUUUUCUUCCUCUUUACGCAAUCUUUAGCUUUUUUCUUUUGUUGACUGCUUCCUUUCUUUGAUUGAUCUCUUUGGAGAUUCCAAAUCAACAUGCUCCAUGGAAUGGUAGUAUCUGUUCAUAGGCCCUCGAUUUUGGAGAACAAAUAUUUUUAUGUGUUUGUUAGGCACAUAUCACAUAUUUAAAUCUCGCUGUUGGCAAAAGUAUGGUAUUGAAGUGUAUAAGGGUUGAGGGGUGUUACUCAAACACUAUGCAUAUCUCUGACAAGUAUUUGUGAAAUUUGGAUGUAGUUUAGGUUAUAUUCAUUUUGUAUUUUGUUUGAAAUCGGAAGACUGAUUUCAUGGACACGUAAUUAUCCUUCUAAUUUGACUGUAGUCAAGUUAAUUUGAUCUUAUAUAAAUGUAUACAUGUACUACAUGAUAUUAACUUAGAAAACAAUAUUGUAAUAUUGUUAAGCUGAUAAUUCUUUUUGCUAUAACAAUUGAUUAGUACAACUGACUAUGGGAUUGAUGUACCUCCAAAAAAGUAGCGGGGUAUUUUUGUUGGUUGCUUCUGCUCUCGAAGAAGAUAUGGACCCAAUUAGCUCAUAUAAAUGAAAAGGAAAAGGAAUCGUGUUUCUUGUUUAAGGCUGGAUCAUAUCGAAAACAUAUAGUGAUUGGUGACUGAGCUUUGACGUACACACUUGGAUAUCAAAAAUAGCCGAAGAUUUCUACUGUUGUGGUGCUCAGCCAGAAGAGGAUUUGCCAGCUCUAUGGGAAUUAAAUUCAGACCAGCAUUAUACUUUUGAGAGCAUGACUGAAGUAUGGUUGCAGAAACUCGAGGUCAUUUAUUUAAAAGCCGCCGCUAUCACUAUAAAAGGAAAUAUAAGCUGUGGAGAAGCUCUCCUUGCAAGGACAUGGAUAUAUUACUGUGAAGACACGUAGGCAAGUAAAUUGAGAACAGAACCUUGAAGAAUUGGCUCAGCUACUCCAUAGAAAAAACGAGAGAGUACAGAAGUUUUGGUUACAGAGAACUCGUGUAAUUCUUUGCUAUUGGUUUAUUGGAAAAUAUUUCCGGUGUAAGUUUGAGCAAUGAAGCAGGUAAUAGAUUAAUUUAAGAGGACAAUGAAAUAUUAACACCCAUAAAAAUAUGCAUUCUGUAUGGUAAAGAGUGUGCCAUCCAGCAACUGCUAUUGGCAAAUUGACAUUCGGCAUUGUUAGUAGUUGGUACAAGUUAGAUGUCAAUUUUGAUAUUGCACUUAAUGUUAUUAGUAAAUAACUUUGUCCAUUAUAAAUCCAUUAGAGGGGUCUGUUACAUCAAAUAUUGACUUUUACCAUUUGAUAGUAUUAAUUUUCUUAAUCAAUUUAAUGGAAAGAGCAUUCUUGCUUCACCUCAUGCUACCUGUGCCUACUUCUGGGACUGGGGACUCUCAUCAUUUUGCCUUUCCAAGACAAAUCUGAAAUAGUAUGAAUGUUUUGACUCUUUUUUGAUGCAUCAUGUUGUAUUCAUUUUUGUUUGUCACGUUAAUUCUCCUUGCCAAAGUUGCUGAACGGCUCAGCACAAACAUGUCUUGAUGCUCGUGUCUGAAGGGUAAUGAAAACAAUAACCUGCUAUUUUUUCAUGCUACCAAGUAGAAUUGGCAAUUGCCAUUAUUGACAUCCUCUUGUUUCAAAUUGCAGAAAACAUGGAUGCACUUCAUUUUAUUUAAAUUUAUGGCAUGUACAUUUAUUGUUUUGGUUGCUGAAAUACUUAAUACUUCUUAUAAAUUGCUAACUUAUUAAGUUUGGAGCACGGGCCAUUCCGCACUAGUAUAUAUAAUAAGUGAAGGUUCCCUGGUGCGACCAAGGGUAAUUCCAUAAUUUUUGUCUUCGCUUCUACAUCAUUCAAGGACGUGCACUCCAACUUUCGAUAUCACGCGUGUACGGUACUUCCAUCAUACCAAAAGCUUGUUUCUCCUUUAUGCUUCUAUUUUUUCAGCAUUUCUCAAAAAUUUCCCUUUCUGAUCUUUACUCUUUCAAGUGUGAGCUCAUUAGUUGGGUACUUGCCGACGAUCUUUCUCUGUUCUUCGCGCUAUCUGUAGUCUGCGCGUAUAGACGUCUUUUGGAGCUAUGUACAUACGUGUUUCAAACCCGACGUCUUUUGGAGUUAUGUACAUACGUGUUUCAAACCCGUCAGCUUAUGUGCUGCAGAAAACAUGGACAAUGCGCUUCACUUUGUGCAACUUACUGGCAUGUACAUUUACAUUUUUGGUUAGCCAGUGAAACAUAACGGUCCUGUAACUUAUGUAAAUAGUGCUUGCUAAAGACUCACCAGUAAAUAUGAUCCUUUUGGCUUGAA